rnacentral:rRNA from 1 species
UACGGGGGGGCAAGCGUUGUUCGGAAUUACUGGGCGUAAAGGGCGCGUAGGCGGCCUUCUAAGUCGGACGUGAAAUCCCUCGGCUUAACCGAGGAACUGCGUCCGAUACUGAAAGGCUUGAAUCCGGGAGAGGGAUGUGGAAUUCCAGGUGUAGCGGUGAAAUGACGUAGAUAUCUGGAGGAACACCGGUGGCGAAGGCGGCAUCCUGGACCGGCAUUGACGCUGAGGCGGCGAAAGCUGAAGGGGAGCCAAAGCAGGGGAU